rnacentral:lncRNA from 1 species
GUGGUGUUGUAGAUGGUAGUGAUCUCACCAACAGUUCACAAGGUAAACAUCUGAUGGUGAGCGAUCUCAAACACAGUUCGUUCUGGGAAAUAUCAGAGAGUGAGUCUUCUCACACACAGUUCAUCAGGUAAACAUCAGAUCUUCAGGUAAACAUCAGAAUAGCUUAGUCACUUCCCUUAAUCAGUUGUUCAUACAUCCACAGGAGAAAUGGAGACAUCCAUGGGAGAAGAAGAGUGGAAGAAGGAGAGGUGACGUAAAGCAUCCAACUUCGAUACCGGUCAAUGAGCGAGAGAAUAAGGACACCAAGGGGGAGGAGAUGCCCUCAAAGAAGUCGGCAAUCCGAUCGCACAUGUCGAAGUUUUUAAAGGAAAAGAAAGCAGUGACCUUGAACCGUGGACCUAAUGGUCUUUAAAUAUAGAUGGAUGCGUGUGUUCCUGGGGCAGAUGGCCAUGAUGCUUUGCUAUGCAUAUGGCUCACUGAUUAUGUCUCCAGCAGGGUGUCAGAACUGAUGAGGCAGCACUGGAGCAGAGUGUUGUGCCAUUUGCAUUGGAGCUUUACUGCUUAGUUGCAUGGAUGGCCACACUGCGUCUCUUAAUGUCAGAGGGCGAAUCUUGAAAACAAACA